UACGGGGGGGGCAAGCGUUGUUCGGAAUUACUGGGCGUAAAGGGCUCGUAGGUGGCCAAUUAAGUCAGGCGUGAAAUCCCCAGGCUCAACUUGGGAACUGCGUCUGAUACUGGUUGGCUUGAAUUCGGGAGAGGGAUGCAGAAUUCCAGGUGUAGCGGUGAAAUGCGUAGAGAUGUGGAGGAACACCGAUGGCGAAGGCAGCCUCCUGGGCCAAUACUGACGCUCAUGCACGAAAGCGUGGGGAGCAAACAGG
rnacentral:rRNA from 1 species